ensembl:lncRNA
CUCCCUGGUGUCACUGGUGUAAAAUUUUAAACUAUUGUGCCUUGUUGGGGGCUGCAUUGAAUGAUUUUAUUUAGGCCCUUCACCUUGGAUCUGGAGCUUCAGGGUAUACAGAAUUUCACUCUAUUGGAAUUUGGAGAAAUAAAGACAAUUCAAAUUAUGGAAAGGCAAAGCUCAACAUAAUAUACGGCUGGCGAUGCCAUUUCUUCAGUAUCAGGGAUUCUCAAUCAGAGAGACCUUGUAGGGUACAGGUCCUCAGUCCCCUCAGGAGGGAGGAGGACAGUGAAAGUGACCUGUGCCGAGCAGUCGCUGUGACCAGGGGCCCAAGGUGCUAUGGACUCCAAGCUGCCAUGCAAAGAUGACAGAUGUUUUGGUCUGAAAUUUCCACUGGGCUUCAGCAAUCCAGGGCAAUCUCCGGAAGAGUAAAAAUUUCGAAACCAGUUUAUUUCUUCAUCUCUGACUAAUAAUGUAGAUGAAGAAGAAGCUGAAUCCAAAUCCAAUACUGUAGUGCUCACCACUGGCCCCUUAGAGGGAGGAGCUUCAUGUGAUUAUGCAAAAGUCAGAAGAGUCCACAGGCAUCUGAAGGGAAUAUCUCUUGAAAGAAAAUCCUCAUGCUUCCUUGGUACCAUCCGGAAGAGAGUGCUCUCAGAUAGGUGGGUUGGUUUUGAGGCUUUUCUGUAAUUUCUCUCAAGACUCAUUUUUCUCUUAUGUUCUUCUGAAAUUGUCCUAUGCCCUUAACUUCUAACAUUUUUCUGGCCCCUAUUUCCUCUUACAUUUUUACUACCUCACUUUAUGGGUUUCCCACAGUAAUUUCAGCAUGCCCUGUGUAAGAGAGAACAUCUCCCCCGCCAGCAUUUCUGCAAGUGUUCUCUGAAGGUGAGGAGGCCAGGCCCUGAUGUCCCUGGGCCUGGGGCUAGCCUACCACCAGAGGCCCAGCUAUGAUCUCGUUGGGCUUUUUUAAAUUAAUUAAUUAAUUAAGUUUUGGCUGAACCACAUGGCUUGCAGGAUCUCAGUUCCCUAACCAGGGAUUGAACCCUAGGCCACAGCAGUGAAAGUCCAGAAUCCUAACCACUAGGACACCAGGGAACUCCCCUAGUCUUAUUGUUUUAAUCAGUAAUUACUUUUUUAAUUAAUAAAGAGGGUGAAAUUAAUUAAUUAAAGAAUGUGCCUUCAUAAAAAAUUGAAGUUAAGGCAAAGUUUAAAAUUUAAAUUCUUCAUCUGUUUCCAAAAGUUAUUUUUCUUUUAAAGUACUCAAAAUUAUUAAUAUUAAAAGGCCAGGGACUUCCCUGGUGGUGCAGUGGUUGGGAAUCUGCCUGCCAAUGCAGGGGAUUUGGGUUCAAUCCCAGGUCUGGGAAGAUCCCGCAUGCUGUGGAGCAACUAAGCCUGUGUGCUGCAACUACUAAGCCCUCGCACCACAACUACUGAGCCCACACGCCUAGAGCCCGUGCUCCGCAACAAGAGAAGCCACAGCAAUGAGAAGCCCGCGCACCACAACGAAGAGUAGCCCCCGCUCACCGCAACUAGAGAAAGCCCAGGCACAGCAACGAAGAGCCAACACAGACAAAAAUAAAAAAUAAAUAAAUAAAUUUUACAGGCCAAA